UUGGCCCAGGCAAGACAUCAGGUCAAGCAAAUGUUUGUGAAAGGCAUGGACAGAGAUUCGCCUUCUGCACAGAAGAAGCAUUCCUUCUCCUCCAGGGAACUCUCCAGCCUGUCUUCAGUGUACCAAAGGCAACCUCCUCCAAGCCUUCACCAAGUCUAAUCAGACAGGCUGAGGCUGACAGGUGCCUUAUACUGAAGUUACCAGCAUGUGUCCUCAUCGACGUAGUGGAAGAAGUUGUCCUUCAAGAAGGGGAUACAGC